UACGGAAGGGGCAAGCGUUGUUCGGAAUCAUUGGGCGUAAAGGGCGCGUAGGUGGUCGUGUAUGUCUCCCGUGAAAGCCCACGGCUCAACCGUGGUGUGUCGGGAGAAACUGCAGGACUUGAGGCUGGGAGGGGCUGGUGGAAUUCCCUGUGUAGCGGUGAAAUGCGUAGAGAUGGGGGAGAACACUCGUGGCGAAGGCGGCCAGCUAGACCAGUUCUGACACUGAGGCGCGACAGCGUGGGGAGCAAACAGG
rnacentral:rRNA from 1 species